rnacentral:rRNA from 1 species
UACGAAGGGGGCUAGCGUUGUCCGGAAUUAUUGGGCGUAAAGAGCUCGUAGGCGGCCUGUCGCGUCGGUUGUGAAAGCCCGGGGCUUAACCCCGGGUUCGUCAGUCGAUAACGGGCAGGCGUAGAGUUCGGUAGGGGAGAUCGGAAUUCCGGUGUGAGCGGUGGAAUGCGCAGAUAUCGAGGAGGAACACCGGUGGCGAAGGCGGACCUCCUAGG